ensembl:lncRNA
CUAGUCGUUAACCAAGUUAUUGGCUGUAGUGAGUGGUGCAUGGACUGGAAAACUGGAGACCAACAUUGGGACUCAUGAUGUAGUGACUUCAUCACAAUCUGGUUUGAGGAAUCAGUCACAGAACUUGUUGCCACAUGUGUAAGUUUCAUACUCACGGAGGAUCUCCAUCUGGAAAUAGAGCCCUGAGGAAUUCUUCGCUGGAUGAGACCCAAUCAAGUCUUCCCUCAAAGCAAGUAAUCUCAUCUGGACACCCUGAAGACACUGCAUUUCCAGGAAUUGGAUGGACUACUCUAGACCAGAGGGCUUCUACAUCUUCCUGUUGAGACCUUCAGGUGGAGCCAUGGCCUGGCGGUGGGGAUGCUGAAGUGGAGCCUGGUGGGAUGAUAAGAUUCCCAUGGGAACAGGAGUUCUCAGAUUCACGAAGCAGAAAAGCCCUGAGUGGGUAUUCCGGACCAGCAAUGACGAAAAAGUCUCAAAUGUUUGCCAACUGGAUUUUCAUCAGUCUAGGAAGUUAACUUGGCGAAAUGUUGUGGAUCACAUCUCUGAGUAAUCUGAGAUUUCAAGAGCAAGAGGGAGAGGAUUUUAAUCUUCAGGGAAAAGAAAAAAUCAAACAGAUUAAAACUCAAAUCCCUCCAGAGGGAACCACAUAUCAAGGGGAUCAAACAGCACCUGAACCUCAAGGAUACUGUUGUGUUCAGGUCAGGUGUUCAACUCUCAAGCCAGACUCAGCCCCUGAAAGGAAAGCGCUAUAUCCUGUUUUCCUUUGAAUUCUCUGGACUCAGGACAGUACCUGGCGCCAAGGGGGUUUUCAACAAACACGUGAUGAAUGAGUAACUGGGAGCCAAAAGCAUCAACUCUGGAACCAGUCUGCCUGGGUUUGAAUCCUGGUCCUAAUGUGUUUUGACUGUGUGACACAGGGCAAGCUUCUUAACCUCUCUGUGACUCAAUUUCUUCAUCUGUAAAAAGGGAUAAUAAUAGCAC